rnacentral:rRNA from 1 species
CCCGCUGAACUUAAGCAUAUCAAUAAGCGGAGGAAAAAGAAACUAACAAGGAUUCCCCUAGUAACUGCGAGUGAAGCGGGAAAAGCUCAAAUUUGAAAUCUGGCAGUCAUUGGCUGUCCGAGUUGUAAUCUAGAGAAGUGUUACCUGUGCUGGACCGUGUACAAGUCUUCUGGAAUGGAGCAUCACAGAGGGUGAGAAUCCCGUCUUUGACAUGGACUGCCUGCAUGUUGUGGUAUGCUCUCAAAGAGUCGAGUUGUUUGGGAAUGCAGCUCAAAAUGGGUGGUAAAUGCCAUCUAAAGCUAAAUAUUGGCCAGAGACCGAUAGCGCACAAGUAGAGUGAUCGAAAGAUGAAAAGCACCUUGAAAAGAGGGUUAAACAGUACGUGAAAUUGUUGAAAGGGAAGCGCUUGUGACCAGACUUGGGCGCGGCGGAUCAUCCGGGGUUCUCUCCGGUGCACUUCGCCGCGUUCAGGCCAGCAUCAGUUCGUCGCGGGGGAAAAAGGCUUCGGGAACGUGGCUCCUCCGGGAGUGUUAUAGCCCGUUGCAUAAUACCCUGCGGUGGACUGAGGACCGCGCAUCUGCAAGGAUGCUGGCGUAAUGGUCACCAGCGACCCGUCUUGAAACACGG